CUGGGGCACCAUGAUGGAGUCACACCAGGUCUUUGUAUUACUGCUCCUCGGUGCUGAGGGGAACAUUGUGAUGACCCAGUCUCCAGAAUUCAUGUCCACAUCUGUAGGAGACAGGAUCACUCUAGGCUGCAAGGCCAGUCAGAGUGUGAGUAAUGAAGUACAUUGGUACCUACAGAAAUCAGGGCAGCCUCCUAAACUGCUAAUCUCCUAUGCAUCCAAUCGCCCCUCUGGGGUCCCUGAUCGCUUUACCGGCAGUGGAUCUGGGACAGAUUACAUUCUCAGCAUCAGCAGUGUGCAGGCUGAAGACCUGACAGUUUAUUACUGUCUGCAGAGUUACAGCUAUCCACCCACAGUGCUUCAUCCUCCAACACAAACCUCCUUGAAUGUCUCAUCAGCUGCCUGCACCACACACAGCCCUGGGCCUGCACACUUCCUCUUUCUGCCUGGGAUUUGUUAUGCAUGACUGAUUAAUAAUUACGAUA